CUCUAGCUCCCUCAGAUCCUGCGAAGUGACUCAGGCUCCUCGGCGUCCUUCCUCCCUCCACUACCUUCCAGGCCUGAGAGAGGAUGUGCUUUGCAAGCAGGGAAAACCAGUCGCCGCCCGAUCGUACGGAACAGGGCGGAACGAUGGCGGCCGAGGGGCGUGGCAGAGCGAUUGUACGGCCUGGAGCCUUACGUGGUCUGCGCGCUGGGGCCUCUUCGCGUCUGCGCAGUUCGCCCACCUCCCUUUCUGGCUCCGGUGAAGUCAUGGCGCCUGUGAGAUUGAGGCGGCAGCAAGGUGUACGUGGUUCAAGAGUGCUGGAGUGAUUGGAUGACUUCCGACUCCCAGUCAUGAUG